UGCUGCAGUGCAGUCUGCAGUGCAAGAAGAAAUGCCUUCAAAAAAAAAAAAAAAAAAAAAAAAAUGGAAUGGAAUGGAAUGGAAUGGAAUGGAAUGGAAUGGAAUGUCGUGCUUCGUGUAUGGUGAAUAUUUAUCUUACAAAUUAUGUACCAAAGUUGUAGUUAUCUUCUAGACGAGAGUGUGCAACUAAAUGUGUAGUACCGAACAAAAGCAAAGUGCAAACAUAUCAAAACGUAUUCAACUAGGUUUGUUUUGAAUUUUGUUGAAGAACCAAGUGUGUCCAGUACUACUCCAUAUAGAAUAACAUCCCAAUGCAACCUCAAGCUUUUGGAAACACGAAAGGAAACAGUAGCCAAAAGGGUAACCAUCAACUCUUUCAUAAAAUAUCGUCGUUCUGCUGAAUAGCAACAUCCACAACAGUACCCCAGAAUGGACAUAAAUUGUUUUUUUCCGAGUAUGUUUUUCUACAAUAAAGCAUGGACAGACAAGGGAAGCUACAAAAAACAACAUGAGUAAUCUUCAGGUUUAUUGCAGCUACUUAGAAGAAGUCACGUGAAAAGAUGCAGGAUAGGGCACUAACUACCAACAUAUGUUCAAAACUGCUGCUGCUGCCUACAGCCACGGGCAGGAAAAUUGCUCUCUUUCUUCGAAUAAUUGAAAGGCUGCUGCAGUCAUCUAGUCUUCAUCCUCCCUCGACUUAUUUAGUCUUCUGGAUAGCUUAGUAAAGCUGACUGGUGUUAUCAAUCCAUUUAGAUAACGACCUAGAGGAGGCCGCCUACAGACAGUGAACAUCCAAUGAUAUCCGACGUCAGCAUCUCUAAGAAAUGGCGGUGACGUGGCUUCACGGUGACAUCAAACAUGUUCUACGUGGAUCAUCAUUUAUUUUUGGUAUUAUGUUUUUGCUUGUUAACCCGUUGGCUGCCACGCCUUUUUUUCCCUGUGUUAGCUCCUUAGCACGGGCCGCGCUGUUCGGUCUCGUGGUUUACAUGCCGCGGGGUCGGACAGUCGCACCAGCCCCAGAUUUGGCCGAAAGGCCCCGUUAGGCAAUGCACCAUAGGGACUUCCCCCUUGUCGAUACGGUGAUGGAUUCUAGAGGUUGUGCAUUCCAUCUUCUCCUGUCACCGUGUCAGCCCGGACUUGUCAGCAAUGGCAAGUCCCACCUUGGUCAUGGAUCCUUCAGACGUAGCGUGUAGAAAAGUAGAGCGCAACCUACGGGUUGUAUGGCGUGGCAGCCAACGGGUUAAUUAUAUGUGUGUGUGUUAAUGUAUGUUAUGUUAU